UACGGAGGGAGCUAGCGUUGUUCGGAAUUACUGGGCGUAAAGCGCACGUAGGCGGCUAUUCAAGUCAGAGGUGAAAGCCCGGGGCUCAACCCCGGAACUGCCCUUGAAACUAGGUAGCUAGAAUCUUGGAGAGGUCAGUGGAAUUCCGAGUGUAGAGGUGAAAUUCGUAGAUAUUCGGAAGAACACCAGUGGCGAAGGCGACUGACUGGACAAGUAUUGACGCUGAGGUGCGAAAGCGUGGGGAGCAAACAGG
rnacentral:rRNA from 1 species